rnacentral:tRNA from 1 species
GCCGCCCUAGCUCAGUCGGUAGAGCAACUGAUUCGUAAUCAGUAGGUCGCCGGUUCAAUUCCGGCGGGCGGCUCCA